rnacentral:rRNA from 1 species
AACGCUGGCGGCGUGCUUAACACAUGCAAGUCGAACGAGGUCCACCGCGUAGCAAUACAAGGGAAGACCUAGUGGCGAACGGGUGCGUAACACGUGAGGAACUUGUCCCGGUCUCUGGGAUAACAGUUGGAAACGACUGCUAAUACCGGAUGACGUCGGAAUCUCGCAUGGGAUACUGACGAAAGGGUUACUGGAUCGGGAGAGCCUCGCGGCCUAUCAGCUUGUUGGUGAGGUAACGGCUCACCAAGGCAUCGACGGGUAGCUGGUCUGAGAGGAUGAUCAGCCACACUGGGACUGAGACACGGCCCAGACUCCUACGGGAGGCAGCAGUGGGGAAUCUUGCGCAAUGGGCGAAAGCCUGACGCAGCAACGCCGCGUGCGGGAAGAAGGCCCUCGGGUUGUAAACCGCUUUCAGAAGGAACGAAAAUGACGGUACUUUCAGAAGAAGGUGCGGCCAACUACGUG